AUGGCGAGCACCACGCGCAAGGAGGAGGGGCCGGACAAGCAGCAGCAGCAGGGGGGCACCAAGCUCUACUCCAGGAUGCUCUCCAAGGACGUGGCCAUCGCCGUGCCGUCCUUCCGGGUGUACUACGGCGUCGCCUCGGCCGGCUCCGUGCCCUUCCUCUGGGAGUCGCAGCCGGGCACACCCAAGAGCUCGCCCUCCGCCGCCGCCCUCCCGCCUCUCACGCCGCCGCCCUCCUACUACGCGGCCGGCGGCAAGGGCGGCUCCAAGAGGGGCGCAGCCUCAGGGUCCGGCAGGCGCUGGCCCGGCGGCGUCAUCGCCCUCUUCCGGAGGCCCCGCCGCAGGACGUCGCCAUGCUCCUCCUCCUCCAUCUCCUGGUCGUCCUCGUCGUCCACCGCGUCGUCCAUGUCUCCGGUGUUCACCGUGCAGUCUUCGCCCGCCGCGCGCUGCGCCCACCGACGAGCGUUCUCGGCCGGCGACGUCUUCGAGGACGCGGCGCCGCCGUCGAGCUGCUUCGGGACGGACCGAGAGUGCGACAGGAGGGUGGUGAAGGGCUGCGGCGUCGCCGUGGCCGUCCGGAACGCGCUGGCCACUGUCGUAGGACGCAAGCCCGGCGGCCGAGCCACCACCGCGGCGGCCUAG
rnacentral:rRNA from 1 species